rnacentral:rRNA from 1 species
GACGUAGGGUGCGAGCGUUGUCCGGAUUUAUUGGGCGUAAAGAGCUCGUAGGCGGCUCGUCGCGUCGACCGUGAAAACCCGCGGCUUAACUGCGGGCUUGCGGUUGAUACGGGCAGACUAGAGUUCGGUAGGGGAGUCUGGAAUUCCUGGUGUAGCGGUGAAAUGCGCAGAUAUCAGGAGGAACACCGGUGGCGAAGGCGGGACUCUGGGCCGAUACUGACGCUGAGGAGCGAAAGCGUGGGGAGCAAACAGG